rnacentral:rRNA from 1 species
AUCCUGGCUCAGAUUGAACGCUGGCGGCAUGCCUUACACAUGCAAGUCGAACGGCAGCACGGGAGCAAUCCUGGUGGCGAGUGGCGAACGGGUGAGUAAUAUAUCGGAACGUGCCCAGUCGUGGGGGAUAACGUAGCGAAAGCUACGCUAAUACCGCAUACGAUCUAUGGGAGAAAGCGGGGGGAUCUUCGGACCUCGCGCCAUUAGAUGAGCCUAGGUCGGAUUAGCUAGUUGGUGAGGUAAUGGCUCACCAAGGCGACGAUCCGUAACUGGUCUGAGAGGAUGAUCAGCCACACUGGGACUGAGACACGGCCCAGACUCCUACGGGAGGCAGCAGUGGGGAAUAUUGGACAAUGGGCGCAAGCCUGAUCCAGCCAUGCCGCGUGAGUGAUGAAGGCCCUAGGGUUGUAAAGCUCUUUCACCGGUGAAGAUAAUGACGGUAACCGCAGAAGAAGCACCGGCUAACUCUGUG